rnacentral:rRNA from 1 species
UACGUAGGGUGCAAGCGUUAAUCGGAAUUACUGGGCGUAAAGCGUGCGCAGGCGGUUGUGCAAGACCGAUGUGAAAUCCCCGGGCUCAACCUGGGAAUGGCAUUGGUGACUGUACGGCUAGAGUGUGUCAGAGGGGGUAGGAAUUCCACGUGUAGCAGUGAAAUGCGUAGAGAUGUGGAGGAAUACCGAUGGCGAAGGCAGCCCCCUGGGAUAACACUGACGCUCAUGCACGAAAGCGUGGGGAGCAAACAGG